AUGCACCAGAUACUAGCCUGACAGUCUGCUGUGUCCCAAAUGUGGGGGUCACUCUGUGGCUGCUCGGCUUCAAACGGUGCGAGAGCAACAUGAACCAUGAGAUUUAAGCCCUUCAGUGGAAGCAACGCUGAAGAGUUAUAACUCAGAGGCACAGAU
rnacentral:snoRNA from 1 species